UGGGGAAUAUUGGACAAUGGGCGAAAGCCUGAUCCAGCCAUGCCGCGUGUGUGAAGAAGGUCUUCGGAUUGUAAAGCACUUUAAGUUGGGAGGAAGGGCAGUAAGCGAAUACCUUGCUGUUUUGACGUUACCGACAGAAUAAGCACCGGCUAACUAUGUGCCAGCAGCCGCGGUAAUACAGAGGGUGCAAGCGUUAAUCGGAAUUACUGGGCGUAAAGCGCGCGUAGGUGGUUCGUUAAGUUGAAUGUGAAAGCCCCGGGCUCAACCUGGGAACUGCAUCCAAAACUGGCGAGCUAGAGUAGGGCAGAGGGUGGUGGAAUUUCCUGUGUAGCGGUGAAAUGCGUAGAUAUAGGAAGGAACACCAGUGGCGAAGGCGACCACCUGGGCUCAUACUGACACUGAGGUGCGAAAGCGUGGGGAGCAAACAGG
rnacentral:rRNA from 1 species